UACGUAGGCAGCAAGCGUUGUUCGGAAUUACUGGGCGUAAAGAGUGUGUAGGCGGUGCUCUAAGUUCGGUGUGAAAUCUCCCGGCUCAACUGGGAGGGUGCGCCGGAAACUGGAAUGCUUGAGCGUGGGAGAGGAAAGCGGAAUUCCUGGUGUAGCGGUGAAAUGCGUAGAUAUCAGGAGGAACACCUGCGGUGUAGACGGCUUUCUGGACCAUUGCUGACGCUGAGAACACGAAAGCGUGGGUAUCAAACAGG
rnacentral:rRNA from 1 species